AUGGCCUGGACCCCGCUCCUCCUGGGCCUCCUGGCUCACUGCACAGGUUCUGUAUUUUCCUAUGAGGUGAAUCAGCCGCCCUCAUUAUCUGUGAGGCCGGGAGGGGAGGCCAAGAUGACCUGUGCGGGAAACAGCAUUGGAAGCUAUAAUGUUCAAUGGUACCAGCAAAAGCCAGGCCAUGCCCCUGUGCUGGUCAUCUACAAUGAUAAUAAACGGCCCUCGGGGAUCUCUGACCGCUUCUCUGGCUCCAACUCUGGCAACCUGGCCACCCUGACCAUCACAAGAGUCCAGGCUGAGGAUGAGGCCGACUAUUACUGUGCACCAUAUGGUACCAUUGACGGCAGCGUGCAGUGA